CGCACGCCGUCCACGCAGUGGAUGUCGCGCUAUCGGCCAUCCCGCGGUCGCGGUGAUGGAUAAGAUGAGCCCCCGCUGCCCUUCGAUCCCCUCCGAACCCUAUUCCCCUCGUUUGCCUCCCCCCACGCAUCUCCCUCCCGAUCCCGAGCCCACCUGAGCAAAGCCGCCGUCACGCCAUUGUCGUAGACAUCCUCUGAAGCCCUAUAGCGCCGCACACUGUUGUCCAGGAGCAGCACCAUCGACCUCUACAUCGACUACAUCACCGGAUUGGACGAGAACGCCAUUGCAAUCGACGCAUCGUCCACCUAUUCACCCACGGCCGCCGCCACCAUUGCCGCUCGAUCCCUCAUCUCCAGUACGUUCCCGGCCACCUCGAGCUCACCUUCGGCACCGUGGUUCGACAGGGCUCCCCUCGAUCUGUUCCCAGGUUGAUCCUCAGUACGCCCAGCGGCGACAGCCUUCGCCAUCGCCGAGAUCCGAGAGGAGCCGUCGCCACCGAGGUCCGGGAGGAGCCGCCGCCGCACCGUCUUCCUCCUCCGCCGACCUCUGAGGCACCCUCCUCGUCGGACGCCGUCGCCUCGCGGAACCCAAGGGCAGGGCAGGGCGUGAUCGCUUUGCGGUCGAGGUCCAAGAUCGCUGCCGCCGAGGUCCAAGAUCGCCGCCAUCGACCUCUGAGAUCGCCAUCCCUCUCUAUUUCUGCCGCCUCGCUGUUCUGGUCCCAUGUGCGGCCCCGUGGCUAACCCUAGCCACCUCUAUCUCCGACGGUGAUGCCUCCUCUUCCUCUUGCAGUCCCGUCCUCGUCCUUGUUGUUGCUCCACACGUAUAUCCGACGGUGACGGUGACCAACGGGCUAUGGGCCUACCAGAGGGCGCGGCAGGUGACAACGCAAGGCCGCUCGCAGCAGGGUGCGUGGUCAAUGCUCACGACAAUGGUGGGCGUGAGCAUGGCACAGGCAGCGGCCAGGUGCGUGCGGGUGGUAGCCGUUGAGGACAUGUUGAUGUUCAUUCGGGCCACACGAUCCAAGGCAUGGAGAACUCCAAGGAGUUUGCUAACAAGUUGUUCGGGAUAUGUCGAGGCAGAGGAACAUUGAGUCGGAUGAAGGCAUUAACAAGGAUCGGCUCAAAGAGGUCUAGACGGAGAUUACUGACCACAUCUUGGACUAAGCUAUGUUCAGUUUAAGUCAAUCUAACAUACUGAUGAAAAUUUUCCUUUGGGUGUCUCACAUUAACAAGUGGAACAUGAACAUUGAUGGGAUGCUCACAGAAGAUGAGGUCAAGAAGGUGGCUACGCAAAUGAUCCCAAAGAGAAGACUACCGUUGGGCCUUUUGAUCGACCACGCGAUUCAAAAAGCUCUUUAGUGCAGUUUGCAACAACAAAAAUCAGAGGAUUGGUCGUUUGUAAGGGCGGAUAUCUCAGAGGCGGCAGCCACCCGGAUUGGAAUUUAAUUUUCAAUCUAUUUCCCUGUCUGAAGUUUCAUACUAGAUGAGUUGCAAGUGGUACUAUGUUCCUACGCUGCGUCGACCCGAGCAGUUGCGAGAGCGAAUGAAGCUGCGGUUGCACGGACAAGCUUGUGGAGGUGUCAGUAUGCACGCAUGCGUCCCUGAUUUGGAUCAUGCCUCUGGCCUGGUAGGAUUCUUGCUCUGCCCCGACCU